CACAUACAACUGCAGCAACAGCGAAACAUUACAAAAAGUACUUGAGUCACUGAGCAACUGUGUGCAAGAUUUGCAAUUAGCAAAUCCUGAAGUUGGUGGUCUCCCAUUGGCAGUGCCAUCAACUUCCAAACAAUAGCGAAGAACGAUGCCAAAAGCCUUACAAGAUCUGUCUUAAACACAUUAUAACUUCGCAUUUGAAGGGUAAGAAAUGACGGUUUAUUUGAAUUUUAGAUAGCUCUUUGUCUAUGUAAAAUACAAAUAAGCUCCGUCAUUUCUGAUCCUCGAGAUGGAAUGCUGAGGUCUUUAUGUUGGUCUCUGCUUUUAAACUUUGUUGCACAUUUGAAUUUCGAAGUAGCAGUAGAUAAAAUAUUAUAAAAAGGAUAGUUGCUACAUUUGUGUGUGUGUUUGUGAGUGAGCGAGUGUGCGCGCGCGCUUUUGAGAAGGCCCUUGUUGCCCGAAAGAUAAGUCUGACAGUCUUUUUGUUGUUCCUUUCUGUGACUCAGCAUCUUCACCAUUUGGUGAGCAGCAACAACUAUCCUUUUCAUAAUAUUGUUACAUUCCAUCCUGGAUUUUUCGUUGUUCAUCAGAGAAAAGAUUUUUCUGAGGAAUUAAACUAGAUGGUAGUGUAGAACUUGCAAACUUUUUAAAAUAUGAAGUAAAAGAUUUUAACUUUAAAUUAGGUUAAUUCAAAUAUGGGACAAUGUUGAGAAUUGAAAAGGUGGAAAAAAUAAAUAAGAUAUAUCUUAGUGGCAUUGAGAUGUCGUAUGACUGAUGGAGGAAAGAUUUUGCAUUUCUUUUUCCAAGUAAGAAUGCACUUGCUCUCACUUGCUUCAAUACAUGUCUAGUGAUUCACGUGAAACAGAGAAAAAGAUAGACUGCCCUGUUAAUGAACAUGAGAUUGCCCAGUAUCACUCUGACAGAAGAGUAUGGUGUUUCCUUGAUAUGGUAUCUGGUCAGCAAUGUCAUUGGGACCAAAUGAAAGUUACUGCAGAUACCACACAGAAGCAAUUACUGUUACUGGAAUACCAGUAAUGUUUAUUAAAUUCAGUUGUAAAGCAGUUCUGGGCAUUGCAGCUGGUGAGCAAUGUCAUUGGGCACCAAAAGAAGUUCAGUUAUGAUGGAUUUCUGGCCUUCAGUCCAUGGGAAAAUUCACACCAGAUUGCAUCAAGACUGUUAUAUUCCAAGGAUAUCUUGGAAGAUUGAUAGUAUUCCUGAACGAAAACAAUCCAUAUAGUAUUUCACGUGUGUAUCAAACUGCCAUUUGUUGUGGCACAUAAAUGUUUGCAACUUGAUUGUAAUUUUUGAACAGUUUCUCAACAAUCCAAGAAUUUCUUGUAAUGAGAAGUAGACAUUGUUGCUUGGGUAAAGGAAAUACAAAUCACGGUCAAUAUAACUACCUUAUUAACUUUCCACAGAGAAAUAUUUUUCACUACUGCUACUUAAAAAUUCAAAUGUGUGACAAAGUUUGCUUACAGAACUUGGCAUAAAUAUCUCCCUUAUUUGUAUUUUUUAGGUAGCUCUUAUUGUUUGAUCCUUCAAAUGGAAUGCUAUGACCUCCAUGUGAUCUAUUCCUUAGUAGUUAAUUAUCCAUUAAGGCACAAAUAUAUGAACAUUACAAUGAGAGGGGUCUUUAUGCCAGGCCCUGUAAAAGUAAUGGCAUCUUACUUAAUAUUAUUGUUGGGAAUUUGAUGGCACAGCUGUGGGGAGACCACAAAUUUCAGGGUUUGCUAACUGCAAAUCUGGCACACAGUUGCUGAGUGAUUCAAGUACUUUUCAUAAUGUUUCACUGUUGAUACAGUUGUAUGUGAGAUUAUAAACCUGUUUGAACAACACCUUCACUUCAAAUUGCUGCAAAGAAAUGGUUACGGUAUCGGUGUGAUGCUCUAUAUGUGUUUCCUCAACUGUGUCCUCAUUGCUACUGUCUUCAUGUGAAAUUACUGCGGACACACUUCUGAAACCAAACCUGUACAUCUUGUGAAGACAGAUUAAUGGGCUAUUCCUGCAGCUUUCUGGUAUUUUAUCAAAACCCCACUCUGGAUAGAAAAUAAAGAUUGCACAGAAAUGCUUGCAUGGGUAUUUAUAUAUCUCAAAAUCUUCACAUGCGCAGUUUGGUAGAGCAAAGCUUACAACAUAAUUAGUCUUUGAACAUUGUACUCUCCAUACAAAACAUUGUCCAAGUUCACAUUCACUAGUCUUGCAGUUAAUUCAACUUUCCCUGGUGCAUAUCACUGCAUGACAUGUUUCACAAACUUGCUUUUUUUUAAAAAAAAAAAAAAAUGAAAAAACAGUGGAACAUGUCUUAUGAUUUGAUGGCAGAAUUCUGCAGACAGUACUUUCUAAUUAGGCUUGGAAGAAAUUGAUUUCUUAUAUCCCUAGUAGCCCCAUUGAAGGUCCCAUCUUUGUUCCAUUUUAGGAAAAAAAAUGUUUACAAUCUUGUUCAUGGCGUCAACUCCACUUGUAAUGUCAAUGGUAUCAAAAUUGCCCUUGUCCUCAUAAGCUUCCACCCACUUUUCAUGUAUCAAUAGCCACUGCUGUUAAACGUACGGUGAUGCAUAUUCGUUUCUCUGAGAAGCCUCACUAUCUCUUCUGUAUGAUCUGUAAAUUCUCUGUUGGUGAUUCUGAAAUUUCUUGCCACAUGCCCAGAAAUCUCUUCAUGUCAUUUGGUAUUUAUACAACCAUCUUCCUCAAACCUGUUUGACUGAAAAGGCACAAGUAAACUUUUGUCUGAGGAUAUGCUUGAUCAGUUGCGUUUGUCUCAGAUUAUAAGAAAUCAGUAACCCAGUAGGUGGGAUUCCAAUCCUUGAAAAUGGCUAGUGCUUCAUGAAUGGAUCUCGCAUUUUCAACUUGAAUGAAAAAGAAAACCAAAUAAUCCACAUUACUCUUUACAGCUAUAAAAAAAUAAAGGCAUAUCAUGUGUUGUUGUUUUGUAUGUUGCAUAUAACAACUAUCCCUGUACUUCUUCAAAAGAUCUCUUUGCUAACAGCUGUGACAGAAAAAAGUGAUGGUUUCACUCCUCCAUUGGCACCUAUACCAUGUUCGUAAUAAAUCAUGUGAUUGCUUUAUUCCUUGUGCCACUCGUCAGCAUGAUUCUGCAAUCUAGUCUCUUCAAACAAUGCUUUAUUUGUACAUUACAAGGUCCAAUAUGUGUGAAUAUAAUUUUUUUCAGUGGGGUAAAAUGUAGUAUUCAUUAGACCUGGUAUGUGUGUCCCAGUGAAAUUAUCAAUAAAUGUAUCUAGAGCCAAAUUAUUGGCUGUAUGAUGUCAUUCCAUUGUGCACCUGAAUUUGUAUUUCCUUUACAAGGUAUUGUUAGCAUGUGUGUGUGCUGAUUUGCUGGAGAAGCAGAGAGAUAGUGUUUCAGCUAUCUUUGAGACAGUUAAAGGAGGUGCUCUAGAAAUGAGUGUCCUGAUUGAUAUGAAAAACAGUUUUCAAAUUUUCUGUACAAACUAUAAACAGUUCCUCAGUUGGUGAUUGUGGAAGAGAUUGCCAUAGCCACAGUAUUGAUCCACUGUCAGGUGGUAAACCUAGGAUUUCCUUCCAGUAUGAGCCAAGUGAAGUAAAAUUGUGGUUGGAGAAAUGUUUUAUAUUCUUAAACUGAGUAUUUGUAACCCAUUAUGGUGGAUUGCAGUUCAUGUGUCAACACUUAAAAAUGUUUAGUUCUUCACUGAUGACACUUGAUACAAUUUCAAUUUUUAAGGCUAUUCUGUGUCAAGUUAAAUUUUGAAUUAUCCAUUUAAGCUUAUUUUUUGCUGUGUGGCAGAUGGAUUUAUGUUCAUGUAAUAUUUUUAAUGUUGAUUGUAGUAAGGUGUAAUAAUAUGUAA